UAUUGUUGUGUUGUUUUGUUUUCUAGAAAAUUAAUGCCCAAAAAAGCAAAGAAUCGCAGAGAAAUGGCCCCUUCAUGAAUGAUCAAUGAGGAAUGGAUCAGGAGUUCCAGGCUGUCACAGGGAUCCAGGCUGCAAACUCCAAAAAAGGAAACAUCAGCUUUAGAAGUGCUCAGAAGCCACCCCGUAACCCCUGCCGGCCACAGCUUCUAACACUUAGAUGGAAUCCUUUUAGAUACUAAAACAAAAAUAGAUUAUAUCUCAGAAAGAGACACGAAAAUGAUUUGACACUAUGUGUAUAAUCUAAUUCAAACCAUAGACCCCCUAAUCGACAUUUAAUUGAUGCAAUAAUGUUUGUUCAUGACGGUAAAUAAACAAAAUAUAUAAACAGAAACAUCUUCUUUGAUGUUUAAUGACUGCUUAGCAGCUAUUUGGGUCAGAGCUACUGAGUCCUAAUAAACAAAUGCUUAAUAAUCAAUUGAAAUGCAUUUCUCUGGUUAUUGCCUUAUUAAAUCAGAUCCAACUUCAGCUGAGGAAUAUUCCUUCCAACAGGAAGAAAAUGGUUGGAAAUGAAAAAGGUUGUGAUGGCAAGUCCCUGUGUACCCUGCAAGUGAAAUGGACGAGUUUCUCUCUCCAUCCCUGCAAUCACCUGGAGCCCAUGAGAAAGCCACACUCCAGCCUGCAGGGUGAGCAGGAAACCCAGAAGUUGGCUGCCCAGCUACAGAGAUAAGGAAGAGGCGGGGCACUGGCUGGAACGCGCAGGAAGGAAGCCUCCAGCCCCCUCACCUGUACAAGAUGUCAGGGCAGCCCUUCCUCUCAUCACCUGCGAACAAGAUGUCCAGAAACACUGCCAAGAAACAGCCACCAAAGUUCAGCAGCCCCAGAGCAAUUUGACAAAAUAAAA
rnacentral:lncRNA from 1 species